rnacentral:rRNA from 1 species
GUAGGUGGCAAGCGUUGUCGGGAAUUAUUGGGCGUAAAGCGCGCGCAGGUGGUUCUUUAAGUCUGAUGUGAAAGCCCCCGGCUCAACCGGGGAGGGUCAUUGGAAACUGGGGAACUUGAGUGCAGGAGAGGAAAGUGGAAUUCCACGUGUAGCGGUGAAAUGCGUAGAUAUGUGGAGGAACACCAGUGGCGAAGGCGACUUUCUGGCCUGUAACUGACACUGAGGCGCGAAAGCGUGGGGAGCAAACAGGGAUUAGAUACCCUGGUAGUCCACGCCGUAAACGAUGAGUGCUAAGUGUUGGGGGGGUUUCCCGCCCCUCAGUGCUGCAGCUAACGCAUUAAGCACUCCGCCUGGGGAUACGGUCGCAAGACUG